GAUGAGAACGUAGCGAAAUGCGAUAAGUAAUGUGAAUUGCAGAAUUCAGUGAAUCAUCGAAUCUUUGAACGCACAUUGCGCCCGCCAGUAUUCUGGCGGGCAUGCCUGUUCGAGCGUCAUUUCAACCAUCAAGCCCCCGGCUUGUGUUGGGGACCUGCGGCUGCCGCAGGCCCUGAAAACCAGUGGCGGGCUCGCUAGUCACUCCGAGCGUAGUAAUACAUCUCGCUCAGGGCGUGCUGCGGGUUCCGGCCGUUAAAAAGCCUUAUUUACCCAAGGUUGACCUCGGAUCAGGUAGGAAGACCCGCUGAACUUAAGCAUAUCAAUAAGCGGAAGA
rnacentral:misc_RNA from 1 species